rnacentral:rRNA from 1 species
AUGUUAGUGCAACCUAUCAAUGUAAUGUGUUGGAAUGUUCGGGGUCUCAACUGCCCGGAUAGACGAGCUACUGUCAGCACGACCAUCGCCACUUCAUCUUGUCAUAUUGUGUGUCUCCAGGAGACAAAACUCGACGCUGUCGACACCUUCACGGCUACCUUCUUGGGGGGAAACAGAUUGCGUAAUUAUGCGCAAAGGCCGGCGGAUGGCACCCGAGGUGGUAUGCUGAUGCUCUGGGACGACCACCUUGUAGAAAUGUCCAACAUCACUGCCUCCACCUUCUGCUUGUCAGCGAUGGUUCGCAUUCGCGAAUCUGAAGUACAAUACAAGCUCACCACCGUUUAUGGCCCCACUGCCUCUUCCCGCAAAGAUGCCUUCUUCGCUAAGCUCAUCAGCCAGAAACCACCCAAUGGGAUGUCUUGGCUCGUUGCAGGGGAUUUCAACCAAAUAUACCGUGCAAGAGACAAGAAUAAAAGGCAUGUUAACCGUAGUCGAAUAAAUCGGUUCCGAACCACCCUUCAAAGUUGUGAUCUUAAAGAGAUACACUUGCAAAACAGAAGGUUCACCUGGAGCAAUGAGAGGGAAAACCCUACAAUGUGCAAACUUGACUCAUUUUUCUGCAACGCCGGAUGGGACACCACUUUCAACACUCAUUUGCUACACGCCCUCUCGUCAUCUCUGUCUGAUCAUUGUCCACUCCUUCUCGCCGAUGACAAGGGACCGCGGAGACCGCGAACUUUCAAGUUUGAAAACUUUUGGAUCUCUAUGCCCGGUUUCAUGGAAGUGGUAAAUAAGGCAUGGAACGAGCCCCUCGAGCACUCCGAGCCAUAUCAAGUCUUAUUCCAUAAGCUCAAGAAGGUGGCCCUCCGACUCUCAGAGUGGAGUAGGGGCCUCUUCUCGAAGGCAAAAGUUCACCUUCAUGCCGCUCUCUUGGUGAUUCUCCGCCUCGACAUUGCUCAAGAGAAUCGGCAACUCUCCCCUGAUGAGAGGGACCUUAGGGCCCGACUGAAGAGGAGAGUUAUCAGCUUGGCCGCACUCGAGAGAGCUCGGAAAAAGCAAUGUUCAAGAAUUGCUAACCUCAAGGAGGGCGAUGCA